CCUACGGGAGGCAGCAGUGAGGAAUAUUGGUCAAUGGCCGAGAGGCUGAACCAGCUAAGCCGCGUGAGGGAAGAAUGUCCUAUGGAUUGUAAACCUCUUUUGUCAGGGAGCAAAGUCACCCACGUGUGGGUGUUGGAGAGUACCUGAAGAAAAAGCAUCGGCUAACUCCGUGCCAGCCGCCGCGGUAAUACGGGGGAUGCGAGCGUUAGCCGGAUUUAUUGGGUUUAAAGGGUGCGUAGGCGGGUUAUCAAGUCAGCGGUAAAAUCGUGGAGCUCAACUCCAUCCAGCCGUUGAAACUGAUGAUCUUGAGUGGGCGAGAAGUAUGCGGAAGGCGUGGUGUAGCGGUGAAAUGCAUAGAUAUCACGCAGAACUACGAUUGCGAAGGCAGCAUACCGGCGCCCGACUGACGCUGAAGCACGAAAGCGUGGGUAGCGAACAGGAUUAGAUACCCGGGUAGUC
rnacentral:rRNA from 1 species